AAUAAAACAAAGAAUUAAGUGUUAAAGUAUUAAAUGUUAAAUCAUUAAAUUUAUAAGAUUUGGCGGUAUUUCAUACAAAUUAGGGGAACUUGUUGAGUAAUUGAUAUUCCACGAUAAGAGUUACUUAACUUAAUUGCUUAUGUAUUGCUGUUUUUAGAUAUAUUUUAAAAAUAUAAUUUUAAUUUAAAUUUAUAAAAUAAUUCAAGUCAAAAUAUAGUUUAGUUAAGAUUAAAUGAGUUACAAUAAUUUUAAAUUAAAUGAAUUUUUAUAUUUAAUUAAAAAUGAAGGUGGACUUAAUAGUAAAAUUAAUGAAUUAAUUAAUUUGAAUAGUGUGUUGAUUUAUGU
rnacentral:rRNA from 1 species